ACGUAGGGUGCAAGCGUUAUCCGGAAUUAUUGGGCGUAAAGGGCUCGUAGGCGGUUCGUCGCGUCCGGUGUGAAAGUCCAUCGCUUAACGGUGGAUCCGCGCCGGGUACGGGCGGGCUUGAGUGCGGUAGGGGAGACUGGAAUUCCCGGUGUAACGGUGGAAUGUGUAGAUAUCGGGAAGAACACCAAUGGCGAAGGCAGGUCUCUGGGCCGUUACUGACGCUGAGGAGCGAAAGCGUGGGGAGCGAACAGGAUUAGAUACCCUGGUAGUCCACGCCGUAAACGGUGGAUGCUGGAUGUGGGGCCCGUUCCACGGGUUCCGUGUCGGAGCUAACGCGUUAAGCAUCCCGCCUGGGGAGUACGGCCGCAAGGCUAAAACUCAAAGAAAUUGACGGGGGCCCGCACAAGCGGCGGAGCAUGCGGAUUAAUUCGAUGCAACGCGAAGAACCUUACCUGGGCUUGACAUGUUCCCGACAGCCGUAGAGAUACGGUCUCCCUUCGGGGCGGGUUCACAGGUGGUGCAUGGUCGUCGUCAGCUCGUGUCGUGAGAUGUUGGGUUAAGUCCCGCAACGAGCGCAACCCUCGCCCUGUGUUGCCAGCACGUCGUGGUGGGAACUCACGGGGGACCGCCGGGGUCAACUCGGAGGAAGGUGGGGAUGACGUCAGAUCAUCAUGCCCCUUACGUCCAGGGCUUCACGCAUGCUACAAUGGCCGGUACAACGGGAUGCGACACUGUGAGGUGGAGCGGAUCCCUUAAAACCGGUCUCAGUUCGGAUUGGAGUCUGCAACCCGACUCCAUGAAGGCGGAGUCGCUAGUAAUCGCGGAUCAGCAACGCCGCGGUGAAUGCGUUCCCGGGCCUUGUACACACCGCCCG
rnacentral:rRNA from 1 species